GACUUCAACUGAAAAAGUCAUCAACAACAAAGUUGUAUAAUCCAUCAAGAUCUAUAAUUUUUAUUUUGGUCAUUUAUUCAUCCGAUAAAGUGAUUAUAACAUUAUUCACAAAUUUUACAUAUCUCCCGUAUGGUUUCAUAAGUUAUAAGAGAGAUGUGUAAAUUUUGAGAACAACGUUACUAUCACUUUGUCGAAUGAAUAAAUAACCAAAAUAAAAUUUGUAGAUCUCGAUCAGUUCUACAACUUUUGUGUUCAUGAAUUUUUCAGCUGAAAUC
rnacentral:pre_miRNA from 1 species